CCUUUUUCUUACAGAAUCACUGUGGUUCUUUGAGGAACAGAGUCCUGGACCACAGGCAGAAUACAUUGUGAGCUUUCUGUCCAGAAGCAUUUAGUAUCUGGAGGAAGCAGGCACUGCUGUUAUUUGCUGUUGCUGGCUGUCAUGCUGCAUUUUUCCAGCUGGUGCUGCUUCUUUGAAUACCUGUUUGCACUGGGAGGCCACUAGAUGUGGUUCAGAGGAAGCCUGCCAAAAUUUCAGAACUCUGCAUCUUCUCCUUGAGGGCAGACCACUCUCCUAGUGGCCUCUGGAAGCCUGUAUCGAGAUCAAAACUUUGUAAUUCACUUUGCUACAUGGUGAAAUAAGACGUGUUUUUUCUCUUCCCACUCUCCAGAGUUGCUGUCCUUUACUGCCUUUUAGAGGUGAUUAUCACUCCAUUGCUGGCUUCCGGAUUCCAUCCUCCCUCUGAUCCAAGAUCUGUCCUCUCUGGUCUGAAACACUGAUAUCACAGAAGAAAUCAGUUUUUCUGGUUCAGGCUAUUCAGAACUGUUGUUCUUGAGCAAAACAGCCAAAAUAAGAAGAAAGUCUCAAUGCACAAGGAUACUGAGUUGCUCAAGCAUGUGCAAAAAAAGACCAAUGAAGCUGGUGAAGUGACUAGUAAACAAGAUUUAUGAGGAGUGGCUCAGGACACGUGGACUGCUCCACCCUGUAGUGAGAAACACGUCUUUGGUGACACGGGUCCGCAAGCAGUCUGCUUCAAAACUGCAGGUUGAUUAAAAAAGAAAAAAAAACCUACAAUGUUCACACUGCAGGAGUAUCUGUUCUUAAAACCAUUUACAAUAAAGAGGAAACAAAAUAAAAAUAUUGAGAAUGAAGUGGAAAAAUAAAGUAUGUGAUAUGGAGAAGUCAAUUUCGUUAAGAGAUCUGAAGAAAGAGAUGAGAGUAGAAAGGUGAGUAUUUAAAUAUACAAAAUCAAAGCAUAUAAAGAACUACAGAGCCAAAUAGAGGUGAUUUUAAAAAUAAAAUAAAAAUUCUGAUGAGUAAUUUAAAGAGAUUAAAGGCAGAUCUAUCACUCUUCCUGAUAGUGAUUGUUAAACCCUUCUUCUUAUCUAUCUAUCUACUUAUUUAUUUAUUUAUAAUUGAAGACUUUCUGUGGCAAUACUGUAUUCCCUUUAACCAAAUCUCUAUUCCCUUGGUUACUGAUAGAUCCUGAAACAUCAUUAAAGCUUUCUGUAACUCACAAACUUGUUUCUUACAAGUAGAGUUUCCUCACAAGAAUAGUGGUCUGAAAUUCCUAGAGGAAAUGCUUCAUAUAGUUAAAUGGGCUUUGUGUAUCAAAUAAAAUAAUUUGAGGCUCAGAAAAUCUCUCCCUUAACAAAAUUUCC
rnacentral:lncRNA from 1 species